GAUCUUUGAACACACAGACACACACAGCCACACACACAACACUGCAGUAUGACAUGUUUUCCACGGGCUGACAUUUACAAAGGAAGACAGUUCAUCUAACGAUCUCGCAAAAGGUGCUCCAGCUUCCUGUCCCUGUGAAUAUGGUUUAUCGCCAUCUGAGGACUGAACGUACUUGACCCACGAGGGCCCAUCGGAAAUGAGAUGGUCUGGUCUAUGGAGGAUUUCCUAUUGAUGCCACCAGUUUGUCGCAGUCUUACCAUUGCAUCAUUUCCCCCAUAGUGGGACUAAUAAAGGAUUGUCUUACCCUAUUAGAAACUAUCAUAUCCACCCAUUGGAUCCUUGAUGUCGGUGCCGGUUUGAAACUAAAAGGCAGUUGCGAUGUAGCCUCUGUUUUAAUUAAUUACAGGCUAAUGCCCAAAAUAGUAAAUCUGCCUCUGAGUGUUAUCUUUUUACUCUUCAUGUACUUCAUUAUUUGACAUUCACCUUUAGGAUUUUACACUAAUAAACACAGAUUUUCCUUUUAUUAUCUGGGACACUCAUUAA